GUUAUUCGGAGCAAAAUCACAGUACAGACAAUAGUAAAUUUAAGGUAAUGACAGUCAAAUCCAUACCCUAGAACCAAAAUCAACAUUCUUAUCAUCAUAAUCUUCUACUCAUCAUAAUGGAUUUGGAAAUGGAGACUUCUCCAACCUAUUUCGAUCCAGAGGGUCUUUGUACCGGGAAGAAAUUCCGUGGAUUCGGUCAAGAAAAAGGAAUUUGGUUUCUCCGUACUAAGAGAGUAGACCUAAUGGGGCAAGACUUCUUGAUGAAAUUCAACAAGAAAUUGAGGAAGGAGGAGGAGGGGAUUAAAAGGAGAUUGGGAAGUUGUUAAUUGUUCCUGCGAUUCAAGGAUUGAUGCCUUUCCCUGACCUAUGUUGCGUUUUGUGGAGGCAUGUAAUGUAUCAGAAUCUCUUAGGGAAUGACGAGCUUCCACACGACCUGAUUCUAGUAUCAGUUCUCCCAUAAGCAUCUCAACUUGACACCUGGUUCAGCAUGUUUGCCAACAUGUUUGAUAUCUGGUUCAGCAUCAGAUGUAACGAUUUAUCUCUUACAAUAUCUUUGUCUUAUGACAGUCUCCAACAACUUUAACUUUGUAGUAGACCGUCUAUGAUAUCAACUGCACACCUGAAGACAUGCCAGUUUGUCAUGGCAGACCAUGAAGCACAAUCAUGCCCUCGAAGUGUCCAAUGGCUUAAAAAACUGGCCUCUAAAGCGCUUGAUUUAGAGAAUAAGUUUCCAACGACGAAAUCAUUAUUUUUGCAGUCAGCAUGCUGGACAAUGGCAAAGUCAUGGCUUGAUGUUUUGGUGGAUUUAGAGUUAGGCCGCUUAGAACCUGGCAGACUAGAACAACUGAGAAGAUAUGGGGAUCAAAUAGACGAAAAAAUCCUUGACAGGGAGAUAAGGCCCCUUCACUUGGUACAGAAAACUGGCCAUGCGAUGUUCUCACAGAGCAACCUCGAGAUCUGCCGGCCCUUCUUCAGAAACUCCACUCAAGUGAUUUGGUACAUGCAACUGUCUCCCAAGGAUGCAAAAAGCAGCAUCGGCUAAUUAAGUUAAUAACCUCAACCUCUUAUUGUAGUUACAGGUUUGGAAUAUAGGUGGUUAUCAAGACUUAUUUCAGUUGUGAGCCUGAUAUCCUGCAAUUGUGGGUGGGUAAUAUGUUCUGGGUUAAACAUAUGACAUUGUAUGUCAUAAAACUAAUGUUGGUCUCCCGUGACGUUCCUCUUUUUCACGAUUCUCAUAUCUGACAAUAUCGAACUGGACCAGAGAUAUUCCACAUGUUGUGGACCUUCUCUGGUCAUGGAUAUCAUCUUCGGAUGAUUUCCAGAUUCAGGUAAUUGGAUUAGAUAUAUUUUGUAUUAAUCAACUUUUUGGUUUUCAAUAAGCUAUGCACCAGUUGCUGUCCCUUAAUCUGUGCUUCAAAACAGGACCUUCCAUGGGCAUAUUAUUUAAAUUCAUCUUUACAUGAUAUUAUUUAUCUGAACUACCCUACCACCUUGAUAAUGUGAAGUAUCUGAUUUCCUAACUUUCUGCAUUCAGUCAUUGGGUACAUGAAGCUGUCUCCCGAGGAUGAAAAGAACAACAUCGGCAAAUUGAGAUGAUAGCCUCAACCUCAUAUUGUAAUUAAUUACGGGUUUGGUAUAUGGGUGGUUAUCAAACUUAUCUCAGUUGUGAGCUUGAUAUCCUGCAAUUAAUUGUGAGCGAUAUUAUGUUCUUUUUUGAACUAACUUAUAGAAUUUUGGAUAUACUACGGUUACAAAUUGUGGGAGAUAUUAUGUCUUCCAACUCUACUACAGUUACAAAUUGAACCGAUGGCAGAUGAAGAAACACACGAUAUUGUUAACCAACAGAUGAACAAACUUUUGCUAUGUUCGAUCUGCUUUAAUCGAAUCUUCUCCAACAACAUCAACAAAACCAUCAAAAUCACGAGUCCUUCUCCUAGCAUCUCGCUAUAUGGUAUCGGCUUAUGGUUUUCAUUGAUGUGGAUUCAAUGGAGAACGCAUAGUAGUUCAAGUAGGAAAGGUAGUGUGGAAUAUGGCUGCAAAAGAAGCAAUGGUAAAGGAAACACCUUCCUGCCAAAAUUGAGGUAUUCGAGAUGGAUCUUAGUGCCAUUGCAUCAGUGAGAAUGUUGUUGGAGCUAAGACAGCACAUGUAUUAAUGGACUGCGUGGAUUUCAAGAAUGUAGUCCUGGCAGUGAGGAAUACGACUGCCGGUACGUUGUAAAAGAAGCAAAUGUAAAUGAGAAACUUUUCUGCUAAAGUAAGGGAUUGCAGGAUCUUCAUGGUCGGCGCCAACGAGAAAAACACUUCUAUGGUUUAUAAUAGAAUUCUCAGAGUGAAAGAUUGAAGAUGGUUAUAGGUUUCAUUUUGGUUGAACUGAAUGAAAAAAUAAAAACCUGAACCCUAUCAUCUUUCUCAAUUUUUGCUCUUACGUUUCCUAAGAUUUAAGUGAACCUCUGAUUCAAACAACUUCACCAAAUGUUGUGUGAAAGAUGAUUUUAGGAUUGGGUAUGAGAAAAGUGAUCUUCUAUGUCUGUCAAUAUUGGUGGCCCAUCAAUGUGAAUGUUUGCUGCUAGCCAGUAUGGUUAUAUAGUUUGAGCAGUUUCCUAUUUUAAGUACAGAAGGAACUCUUAAGAACAGGAACUGAUGAAAUGGGAAGAAAGACCAACAAGAGAUGGAGAGAGUGUGGCUGAAAGUUUGUAGGCAGGAGUCUGUUUCAUCUUAUAAGCCAUUGUUUGUUGAGACAAUUAGACCCGCAGGUAUAUCGAUUUGGUAAAAAAAAGCAUGGUUAGGUCAUCCUCAACUGGGUAUUAAGCCAAAUAAAGAUUGACACGGCAGAUGACAAAGAGGAGAAGAGAUGGUGGGGUUCACAAGUAGGAUUUUGUUCACUUGACCUAAAUAGAAGCUGCUAAGGUGGCUGGGAAGUUGACUCGACAAGCCCCGGUGGUCUCCAAGGGAUGUCAUUGAGGCUAGAGAUUCAGAAUACCAUGCACGAUCUCGAGUUCAAAGUCUAGAAUCUUCUCUUGAUGAGCAUGGCUUGUACUUGUGUGUUAAGGAGGCAAACAAAGCUAAAGCUGUAUCACAACAACAGCCAUCUAAAGCAGAGGCCAAGAUAGCUGACCUCAGAUAAAAGUUCGAAGUUUCUAGAAGGUUGGUUUUUUCUUCUUCUUUUUCUCCAUAAUAUUGAUGAGAUACUUGCAAAAAAAUAAAUCCUUCUGUACGUUGUGAAUUAGCAAAACAAUCAAAUAUCUGUAUUGUUUUUUUCUGUAUAUAAAAGAGAUGAUAUGCGAUUCUUCUUUUUAAAAGGUAGUUACUUGUCC